UGCCGAAGUAAUCCAAUGGCAGAGAUAGCGGUUUUAGAAACCGUACAGUGUGGGUUCGAGUCCCACCUUCGGUAUCAU
rnacentral:tRNA from 1 species